GCCAGCAGCCAUGUCGCCCUGCAACUCGCAACUGGCAGCCCCAGGUGUGAGCCUGGUCAGUACCUGGAUGGGAGACCUCCUGGGAAAAACUAAGGUUGCUGCUGGAA
rnacentral:rRNA from 1 species